rnacentral:rRNA from 1 species
AAGAUUAAUACCCCAUAAUAUAUUGAGUGGCAUCAUUUGAUAUUGAAAACUCCGGUGGAUAGAGAUGGGCACGCGCAAGAUUAGAUAGUUGGUGAGGUAACGGCUCACCAAGUCAAUGAUCUUUAGGGGGCCUGAGAGGGUGAUCCCCCACACUGGUACUGAGACACGGACCAGACUCCUACGGGAGGCAGCAGUGAGGAAUAUUGGACAAUGGGUUAGCGCCUGAUCCAGCCAUCCCGCGUGAAGGACGACGGCCCUAUGGGUUGUAAACUUCUUUUGUAUAGGGAUAAACCUACUCUCGUGAGAGUAGCUGAAGGUACUAUACGAAUAAGCACCGGCUAACUCCGUGCCAGCAGCCGCGGUAAUACGGAGGGUGCAAGCGUUAUCCGGAUUUAUUGGGUUUAAAGGGUCCGUAGGCGGAUCUGUAAGUCAGUGGUGAAAUCUCACAGCUUAACUGUGAAACUGCCAUUGAUACUGCAGGUCUUGAGUAAAUUUGAAGUGGCUGGAAUAAGUAGUGUAGCGGUGAAAUGCAUAGAUAUUACUUAGAACACCAAUUGCGAAGGCAGGUCACUAAGAUUUAACUGACGCUGAUGGACGAAAGCGUG